CACGCAGGCUGAGGGCUGUGUUCGCACC
rnacentral:piRNA from 1 species